UACGAAGGGGGCUAGCGUUGUUCGGAUUUACUGGGCGUAAAGCGCACGUAGGCGGUUUGUUAAGUCAGGGGUGAAAUCCCGGAGCUCAACUCCGGAACUGCCUUUGAUACUGGCAAGCUAGAGUCCGGAAGAGGUAAGUGGAACUCCUAGUGUAGAGGUGGAAUUCGUAGAUAUUAGGAAGAACACCAGUGGCGAAGGCGGCUUACUGGCCCGGAACUGACGCUGAGGUGCGAAAGCGUGGGGAGCAAACAGG
rnacentral:rRNA from 1 species